rnacentral:sRNA from 1 species
UAUUUGCGUGAGCGAUAGAAAUGGCAUCCUUUUUUGAAGAAUGAAAAAAAGAUAUAAUGCAUAGCGCGAUUUUUG